UGAUAUAGUGGGAGCAAAUCAAUUUAUGUGUUUGUUCUGGUCAAGUAAAAUCACAUUGUUGUAAAUACAAAUUGGAUGAAUGUGAUCAUGGAAUUUGUUUGCAUAUUGGUUGCAGCAAUUGAUCACAUUGAUAAGACAUUCAAUGUAUUGCAAUGACUGUUAGUUAAUACAGUUGAUAUUAACUUAUACUUAACUUGUUUGUGUUAAGUAUAGCCUAGAUAAGUGGGAGCAAAUUGGUUUGGUUUUUGCUAUAUUGGUUCACAUAAUUACAAAGUGCAAAUUAAGUAUGUUGUGACUUUUGAGUUAAUUCUGCGAUGUAACAGAAAAAAUUCUUAAGUUCAAUACUUUAAAAUGCAUGGGUAAGUUGUAUGUGAGGUUAAGCUUUUGUUAUCCAAAAGAUUUGGUUGCUAUAUGAGUGGGAGUCGACGUCUUGGUUUACUUUUGAGCUUAGAUACAUUGAUAUGAACAUGAACUGGACAUUGUGAUUUAUAAGUUAAAUCUGUAUUUUGUGUUGCAGAGGCAAUUAUAAAUUCAUUGUUUUGGUUUAUGUAAGCUGGUUGUAUCUAUGUACUAGUGUGUUGAUAAAUGACUUAUGUGAUCACCUUUAUAUUGAAUUUGAGAUGAUUAUUUACUGUUGUGAAUCAUACUCAAGUGGGAGAAUGUUAGAGUAUGAGUGUGAUUCUCACAGUUUAGUAAUAAUCAUUGUUAUUUCAGAUUGGUAUAAAGAGGUCUUAAUGUGUCUAUAAGAGUUAAUUCGACUUUGGUUUGGAUUGGAACUCUAUCGUUGGCUUGAGAAUAGAACUCAUACUUGUACAAGGAUUUGGUCUUGUAUUCCUUGUAGGAUUGUAAUAGGGCAAUCUAUGUUUAGUAUAAAAACAUAAGCCACUGCUCUCACAAAAGAUACGCUCAAUAUUGAACUAAGACCUAUUGUUAGUUUGAGUACUUUUGGUUUUGCAAGAGAGGAGAAGGUGCACUGUUUAGAAGUUUGCUUUGGCUUCCACUAUUUUUACGGUCUUACAAUACAACCACCACAUUACGGCAUUCACCACAACAAGGAUCAGACAGUGGAGGAGCUAUUCUACCAUCAUGAGCAUAAUGAGCUUUUGAAGUCGGUCGAAGAAUGGAUAAAAGAAACGGCAGAGUCAUGCUCAACCGUAGCGGUACUAGUGGCCACUGUGGACUUUGCGAUCGCCUACGCUAUCCUACGGAAUGCUGAAGACAAUGAAUACGAAGAAGGGGUUGAACCAACAUUGGAAUUUGUGAUGACAAAGAAGGAGAUAACUGGGAGUGGAGCUCCAAGAGACAGCAGGGCUUUAUUGGAGAAAAAGGUAAAUUAAAAGAUCUCCAAUAUUGGCUAGCGUGAAUCUUGGUAUCUUCACAUGCAUGCAAUGUUCAGGGAUCCACAGGAGUCUUGGGGUACAUAUAUCAAAGGUGAGAUCUGCCACUUUGGAUACAAGGCUCCCAUAGCAAGUUGCAUAUAUCCAAUUCUACUGACUGCAACAGUGACGGCAGAAGUGGAGGAAAUGACGGUGGUAAUUGAGGUGCAAUGGUAACAGUAGAGGCAGCAGGAGGCAAUGACCGUGGUGGCGAAGACAUUGUUGGUUGCAGAGUUGCAGAGUAAGUUUCUAUUGAGUCUCUUGAGAUGUAUUGUAAUUUGUAUUUGUAUAACACCAUAACACUCCUGUGAGAAUAUUUAGCUACUAAUAGAUAAAGGGUAAAUAAUAGUGUCCCGAUAACUGACUAUAAAUUUGAUAUCAAAUCUAAUGAUGGAUAUUUUUUUCAGCCA